GGGUGGUUGCAGACGGGGAGACACCAGCCAUGGCACGCCAGCACAUGGACGGGGAGAGACGAAGGGAGGGGUGGGCAGUGCCGUUGAUAGGGAGAAACGAUGGGGCGUUGACGGUGGAAGGUUUUCAAUUUUUUUGCAAAACUGCGGGUUGACCCUUUCCGUGACUCGGUCAACGAUGGUUGGAAGAAACUUAUCGUCCUUUAAUAUUAGGUAGAGAUUAUUUGAAUCCAUACUUUUGUUGAAAGGGAAAAGUGAGGUGAACUUUUAGAAAAAGGGGAACGUUCCAGCCUCUACGACAACACACAACAAAGUUUUAACAGUAUUCACAACAAAGUGAGGUUAUCACAAUAGUGCAGAAUCUACUCCCCUCAUCACGUAAAAGGUUUGGAAGUGCAAUGACCAGUGAGCCAUGGCUGAUAAGCCCAUUGAGGUUUGUGACAAUGAAAGUAAAGACGUAUAGGAAGCGAAAAGGACAACGCCGAUGCCAAUAUGAGAGGUAUAUAUUGUAAUUUGCAAUUUUUACAUGAGAACUUUAUUUGAGUUUGUAUUUUUAAUCUUGUUGUGUUGUCUAUGCUAUUGACUUUACCAUACCUUAAUUUUAUUCUGUCCUCCAUCACUAACUAUGGAAUAUGACGAGCUCAUCGUCGUGGAGUCUCAACCACUCAACUAGGAG
rnacentral:lncRNA from 1 species